AUUUGUCGUCUAACUUGAUUGAAAUAUUGUCCAAUCAAGCGAAACAGCAGUUAAAUCA
rfam:Streptococcus sobrinus W1703 genomic scaffold Scaffold31, whole genome shotgun sequence.